UUAGGAAUAUUGGACAAUGGGCGCAAGCCUGAUCCAGCCAUGCCGCGUGAGUGAUGAAGGCCUUCGGGUUGUAAAACUCUUUAGCCGAUGAUUAUAAUGACUGUAGUCGGAAAAUAAGCCCCGGCUAACUUCGUGCCAGCAGCCGCGGUAAUACGAAGGGGGCGAGCGUUAUUCGGAAUCACUGGGCGUAAAGCGUGCGUAGGCGGUUUAGUAAGUUAGGAGUGAAAGCCCAGGGCUUAACCUUGGAAUUGCUCUUAAAACUACUAGACUUGAAUCUCGGAGAGGAUAGCGGAAUUUCCAGUGUAGCAGUGAAAUGCGUAGAUAUUGGAAGGAACACCAGUGGCGUAAGCGGCUAUCUGGACGAGUAUUGACGCUGAGGCACGAAAGCGUGGGGAUCAAACAGGAUUAGAUACCCUGGUAGUCCACGCCGUAAACGAUGUGUGCUUGUCGCUGGGGAGUUCACUCUUCGGUGACGCAGCUAACGCGUUAAGCACACCGCCUGGGGAAGUACGGCCGCAAGGUUAAAACUCAAAGGAAUUGACGGGGUCAUAGCUGUUUCCUG
rnacentral:rRNA from 1 species